rnacentral:rRNA from 1 species
ACUGGGCGUUAAGUUGCAGGGUAUAGACCCGAAACCCGGUGAUCUAGCCAUGGGCAGGUUGAAGGUUGGGUAACACUAACUGGAGGACCGAACCGACUAAUGUUGAAAAAUUAGCGGAUGACUUGUGGCUGGGGGUGAAAGGCCAAUCAAACCGGGAGAUAGCUGGUUCUCCCCGAAAGCUAUUUAGGUAGCGCCUCGUGAAUUCAUCUCCGGGGGUAGAGCACUGUUUCGGCAAGGGGGUCAUCCCGACUUACCAACCCGAUGCAAACUGCGAAUACCGGAGAAUGUUAUCACGGGAGACACACGGCGGGUGCUAACGUCCGUCGUGAAGAGGGAAACAACCCAGACCGCCAGCUAAGGUCCCAAAGUCAUGGUUAAGUGGGAAACGAUGUGGGAAGGCCCAGACAGCCAGGAUGUUGGCUUAGAAGCAGCCAUCAUUUAAAGAAAGCGUAAUAGCUCACUGGUCGAGUCGGCCUGCGCGGAAGAUGUAACGGGGCUAAACCAUGCACCGAAGCUGCGGCAGCGACACUGUGUGUUGUUGGGUAGGGGAGCGU